GCUUAAGGCUGGUAGCAAAACUCAAACAUCCUGGGUCCCUCUUUCUGGCACGGAGGUCACAGAGGGCCAGGAGGUUGCUCCGUCCCUCUCCACAUCUCACUUCCUUCCCCCACCCUGUCCAGCUUCGUGAUUGUAUCCAAAAAACCUUGAAUGAAUGGAGUUCCCAAAUCAACCCAGAUUUGGUCAGGGAGUUUCCAGAUGUCUUGGAAUGCACUGUAUCUCAUGCAGCAGAAAAGAUAAAUCCUGAUGAAAGAGAAGAAAUGAAAGUUUCUGCAAAACUGUUCAUUGUAGGAUCAAACUCUUCAUCAUCAACUAGAAGUGCAGUUGACAUGGCCUGUUCUGUCCUUGGAGUUGCACAGCUGGAUUCUGUGAUCAUUGCUUCGCCUCCUAUUGAAGAUGGAGUUAAUCUUUCCUUGGAGCAUUUACAGCCUUACUGGGAGGAAUUAGAAAACUUAGUUCAGAGCAAAAAGAUUGUUGCCAUAGGUACCUCUGAUCUAGACAAAACACAGUUGGAACAGCUGUAUCAGUGGGCACAGGUAAAACCAAAUAGUAACCAAGUUAAUCUUGCCUCCUGCUGUGUGAUGCCACCAGAUUUGACUGCAUUUGCUAAACAAUUUGACA
rnacentral:sRNA from 1 species